GAACCUCCAUACUGUUCUUUAAAGUUGCUGUACUAAUUUACAUUCCCACCAGCAGCGUAAGAGGGUUACCCUUUCUGUGGGUCCUCACCAGCAUCUGUUAUUGCCUAUCUUUUUUAUUAAAAAACCAUUUUAACUGGAGCGAGAUGAUGUCUCAUCAUAGUUUGGAUUUGCAUUUCCCUGAUGAUGUUGAGCAUUUUUUCAUAUACCUUCCCCUACAUGAAUUUGUUGCACUUCUUUCCUAAGCCCUUUCUUUGAAAAUCCUGCCUGUACCUGUACAGGUCCUACAUGAUGUGAAUUUAUCUUUUUCUUCCUAGUGCUGUGUUAAAUGAGAAUAAUGUGCCCCUCCCCAAAGAGUCUCUUGAGACUCUGAUGCUUAUCACACCUGCCGACAGUGGUUCUGUUCUAAAGGAAGCUACAGAUGAAUUGGAUGCCUUGCUUGCAUCUCUAACUGAGAAUCUAAUUGAUCACACAGUUGCACCUCAGGUGUCUUCCACAUCCAUGAUCACACCCCGGUGGAUUGUUCCGCAGAGUGGUGUCAUGUCUAAUGGACUUGCGGGAUGUGAAAUGCUUUUGACGGGGAAGGAGGGACAUGGUAAUAAAGAUGGAAUC
rnacentral:sRNA from 1 species